rnacentral:lncRNA from 1 species
CCCACAAUUUUUUUGUUUUUUUGGGCUAAAUUAUAUAAAAUCUUUCUGUCAAUACUCGUUUAUAGAGAGAGAAAGAGUACGGCUAUUGUACUUUUAUGAGUACGAUCGCUUUCGUACUCAUAAAUAGUUUUCGAUAAUAGAGCUUCCGAAUCGACGAUCCAUACCGUUAAACAUUAUCUAGAGUAUUUAAAACUUUUAAAAAUCAAAUUUCAUAAUUUUUCGAUAUCAUUUACCUUACGAUCAAAGGCUCACAAUAUUGACAAUUUUUAACGGCAGAUAUGAGAUACUUGCUAGUUUAACGGUGUAAAAAAAUCAGAAUAUGUUGAAUUUUUGAUAGAAAAUUUUAUUAACUAUCUAGAUAAAGAUCAAUAACUCCAAUCUUAAAUUAAAGAAUCCAAUCAUCCAUUUUUAAAAUAUCGUUCGAUUUUGACCGUUCAUUUUAUGUCCGCUUGAUGGACAUUAUACAUAUAUAUAUAUAUAUAUAUAUAGAGAGAGAGAGAGAGAGAGAGAGAGAGUAGGGCUACUAUACUCUUAUGAGUAUAGAGGGCUACUAUACUCUUAUGAGUAUAGAGUUCUUCGUACUCAUAAGUUGUUUUCGAUGAUUGAGCUUCCGAAUCGACGAUCCAUUCCGUUAAAUAUGAUCUAGAGUAUUUGAAACUUCUAGAAAAUAAAUUUCACAAGUUUUCAAAAUCAUAAUAAAGUCCAUCAUGCGAGUAUUAAAUGAACGGUCAAAAUCGAACGACGUUCUAAAAAUGUAUGAUCGGAUCUUUUAAUUUAAGAUCGAAGUUAUUAAUCUUUAUUUAAGUAUCAAAAAUUCAACAAAUUCCAAUUCUUUUAAAUGGUUAAAUUAGCAAGUAUCCCGUACUGGCCGUUAAAAAUUAUUAAUUUUGUGACAUUUUGAUUCGUAAGCUAAAUGAUGUCAAAAAAUUAUAAAAUUUGAUUUUUAAACGUUUUA